rnacentral:piRNA from 1 species
CAUGAUGAUGGGAAAGCUGGUGUCUAGA